UCACAGAAUGUGAUAACAAUCACUAUGGAGCAGAUUGCCGUCAAGUAUGUCAUUGCGAUUCAGGUGACUGUGACCGAAAGACAGGGAAUUGUGCAUCCGGGUCAUCUUGUUUGAAUAAUUACAAGGGACCAGCGUGCCAAGAAUUACUGCCAGGCCUGUCCUGUACGCGAUCUGGUUUCUUUGGUGUGUUGUGUAACUAUCCAUGUCAUUGCAAAGACUCAGCUGAUUGCAAUCGUAAUGGAAGCUGUGACAAUGGAUGCCACGAAGCAUGGGCGGGAGCGGACUGCAGUAUAGCACUACCUUACAGCUCCAAACCGCCAACACUCUUGAAUCAAACAGCAACCACCCUAAAGAUUGCCGCCUGCAGCUGGGAUCCAGUUCAAGACUUUGGAACAGGGAAUAUUACAGGAUGUAAGCUAUGGUAU